rnacentral:rRNA from 1 species
GGUUAAGUGAAUAAGGGCGCACGGUGGAUGCCUUGGCACUAGGAGCCGAUGAAGGACGGGACUAACACCGAUAUGCUUUGGGGAGCUGUAAGUAAGCUAUGAUCCAGAGAUUUCCGAAUGGGGGAACCCAAUAUCUUUUAUAGGAUAUUACUUUUCAGUGAAUACAUAGCUGAUUAGAGGUAGACGCAGAGAACUGAAACAUCUUAGUACCUGCAGGAAGAGAAAGAAAAUUCGAUUCCCUGAGUAGCGGCGAGCGAAACGGGAAGAGCCCAAACCAACAAGCUUGCUUGUUGGGGUUGUAGGACUCCGAUAUGGUAGUCUGUUAGUAUAGUUGAAGGAUUUGGAAAAUUCCGCUAAAGAGGGUGAAAGCCCCGUAGACGAAAUGCUGACAACACCUAGGAGGAUCCUGAGUACGGCGGAACACGAGAAAUUCCGU